ACGCAGCUAGCUUGUCAAUGUGGACCAAACCUGUAUAAGAUCGUAGUUUUCCCAGCACCGUCCAAACCCAGGAUUAAAAUUCUCAUUUCCCGACUGCCAAGCAAAUUACGAAAAUAACUGAGUAAUCCUCCUGAAAAAAUCGAGACCGUCAAUAUUGUAAAGACACGCUGGAAAACGAGAACUGUCGGCUGAGAUCAACCUAGCAUUUGUAUUCGCUUCGGGGAUUCAGUAAUUUCGAGAAUGGGAACUCUAUGAAAAGAUACAGUCCUCUUUCCCUCUUUGGAUCACUUGCUGACUUGUAUCGUUCCUCCAACAUACGUGAAGUUUGCUGCCGUUCUGUUUGCCUACAAUGCAGAGUAUACUAGAGGCGAAAUACUGUCAAAAUUUUUUAUCUCAAUAGCCUUAAAUUGAAUGUUCUUGGAGAUCAUUAUAUGUGUACGUACGUACAGUUUCACCACUUUUAAAAAUUAAUAUCUCUUUCUGUAGGUCAUUGGAUGAAAGGAAAAGAACGAAUUUCGCUAUAAAGCGCGGUAAUAUUUAAAUCAUGCUAUGGUAAUAAUGUAUUUUGAAGAAUUUGAAUUUCGUAAAAUAAUUGAACGACACACAAUGGCGGGAAAUUUAAACAUGGAUAAUUACAAAUUAUUAAUCUCUGCUGACUCGCAAUUAUUUCAAACUUGAAUGAAAAUGUCAAAUCUGAAGAUAUUCGAAGAUUUUCGCAAUAAAUCUCGUAAUUAACGUAA